GAAAAAGAUACAUUUUCUCAGAACAGCCAGUCUGCAGAAACAGGAACAAUUCCAGAGGAGAUUUUAGGACGUGUUCUGGAGUAGUAGAGAUUAUUGCUUCAGUCCAAGCCAGUGCAGUUUACUGAAGGUGCAUGAAUAGAAGCCAGUGCAAUAACUGUCUGGAGAAGCACACAGGAGUCUGUAUUUUGGAGAACUACCUCUGCCAGUGAUGCAGAAGAAUGAAGUGGCUCGUUUGUAUCCCACAGGGAGCUGGACUAGAAAAUAUGAAGAUCCACAGAUUCUCAGGCCCGUGCAAACAUUUCUCUCACCUUAUGAGGGCUAUAGGCAUGUUGUGGUUCUACAUUUACUCUCUUUUUCUGUUGUUGUUUUGUUUGUUUUACUACAGGAUUUGUCUGGGUUAUUUUGUCUACAGUAGAUUCCUGUCUAGACUAGACCCUGCCGUUUUUACUUCAGAAAGAUUUCCUUUGUAGCACAUUGCUUUCUCUGCUGUUCUCCCCUCUUCCUGUUGGUUCCAUGGCCUUUCCUCCAUUGUACAAGCUGGAAGAGCAGCCCCCACCAUGCUGCUGUGGGGUUCUAGUUGCGGGAUCACUUUCCUUCUCUGUUCCCUGGCAUGUACACGGACCUUUCUGCAGGGUGUCUCCUUGGCCACUCACCCAGACAACUUCACUCUCUUUUGUCCAGCGGUCAUUGAUCUACCUCACUACAGGGACUUUCAUCCAGGGUUUAUAAAAUGGAAAAGCAAAUAGAGCUCUUUUAACUAAAUGUGCCCUACUAGUCCCUGCUGUGGAAACAAAGCACUGUCUUCCUCUCUUCCAUCUUAGAGGUCUCCUUGAAGGCUUGUCAUCUUGAAGUCAGAGAGUUUAGGACCAAGAGGCAUUGCUCAUUACAGAGAGUGUGAUCUCCUGCGUAUUAGUGCAUUCCUCCUUCUUCAAGGGAAAUAACAAUUUUCAGAAAGAUCUCUAGUCUUCACCAGGAAAACUGAGACAUGGUAUUUCUAUUAUACAAUCUUCUUAAUUUGUUUUAGCAUUUAACUGUUUGAAAGCAAGUGCUUUUCUUACUUGGUCAUCUUUCAGCUCCUGGUUCUUGCAGUGCUAGACAGCCCUGUGGGAUCCAAUAUGUUUCCUCCCCAUAAAUAACACAUGAAAGACCUCAAAGGAAAAAGAUUUCUGCCUUGGGAUCAGAAAGCCUUACCUGACA